GAUUUUCAAACAUCUUACUACCUUGAGGUGCAUACACGGAUCCUUGUAUUGCUAUAUGAAUUGAGGGCAACUUAAUUUUCUUAUUGCCUUAACGUACAUGGUGGGGCUGUAUCAUUGGGACACCCAUUAGGAUGCAGUGGAGCUCGUAUCUUGGUCACAUUGUUAGGGAUCUCUACAAAUUUUUAUUCUCCAAAUAUGAAAGUUGUCAAUGAGAACUUCCUCCCUCUGCUCAAACGCCUUGAUGACUGCAUAGCGUAAGGGGAUGCUAUUUACAUCAUA